UGCAGUCGACGAUGAGCCCAGCUUGCUGGGUGGAUUAGUGGCGAACGGGUGAGUAACACGUGAGUAACCUGCCCUUGACUCUGGGAUAAGCCUGGGAAACUGGGUCUAAUACUGGAUAUGACUUCUCACCGCAUGGUGGGGGGUGGAAAGAUUUAUUGGUCUUGGAUGGACUCGCGGCCUAUCAGCUUGUUGGUGAGGUAAUGGCUCACCAAGGCGACGACGGGUAGCCGGCCUGAGAGGGUGACCGGCCACACUGGGACUGAGACACGGCCCAGACUCCUACGGGAGGCAGCAGUGGGGAAUAUUGCACAAUGGGCGCAAGCCUGAUGCAGCGACGCCGCGUGAGGGAUGACGGCCUUCGGGUUGUAAACCUCUUUCAGUAGGGAAGAAGCGAAAGUGACGGUACCUGCAGAAGAAGCGCCGGCUAACUACGUGCCAGCAGCCGCGGUAAUACGUAGGGCGCGAGCGUUAUCCGGAAUUAUUGGGCGUAAAGAGCUCGUAGGCGGUUUGUCGCGUCUGCCGUGAAAGUCCGGGGCUUAACCCCGGAUCUGCGGUGGGUACGGGCAGACUAGAGUGCAGUAGGGGAGACUGGAAUUCCUGGUGUAGCGGUGAAAUGCGCAGAUAUCAGGAGGAACACCGAUGGCGAAGGCAGGUCUCUGGGCUGUAACUGACGCUGAGGAGCGAAAGCAUGGGGAGCGAACAGGAUUAGAUACCCUGGUAGUCCAUGCCGUAAACGUUGGGCACUAGGUGUGGGGGGACAUUCCACGUUUUCCGCGCCGUAGCUAACGCAUUAAGUGCCCCGCCUGGGGAGUACGGCCGCAAGGCUAAAACUCAAAGGAAUUGACGGGGGCCCGCACAAGCGGCGGAGCAUGCGGAUUAAUUCGAUGCAACGCGAAGAACCUUACCAAGGCUUGACAUGUUCCUGACCGCCGUAGAGAUACGGUUUCCCCUUUGGGGCAGGUUCACAGGUGGGUGCAUGCUUGUCGUCAGCUCGUGUCGUGAGAUGUUGGGUUAAGUCCCGCAACGAGCGCAACCCUCGUUCCAUGUUGCCAGCACGUAGUGGUGGGGGACUCAUGGGAGACUGCCGGGGGGUUCAACUCGGAGGAAGGUGGGGACGACGUCAAAUCAUCAUGCCCCUUAUGUCUUGGGCUUCACGCAUGCUACAAUGGCCGGUACAAUGGGUUGCGAUACUGUGAGGUGGAGCUAAUCCCAAAAAGCCGGUCUCAGUUCGGAUUGGGGUCUGCAACUCGACCCCAUGAAGUCGGAGUCGCUAGUAAUCGCAGAUCAGCAACGCUGCGGUGAAUACGUUCCCGGGCCUUGUACACACCGCCCGUCAAGUCACGAAAGUUGGUAACACCCGAAGCCGGUGGCCUAA
rnacentral:rRNA from 1 species